rnacentral:rRNA from 1 species
GGGUUGUGAGGUUAAGCGAAUAAGCGUACACGGUGGAUGCCUAGGCAAUCAGAGGCGAUGAAGGACGUGCUAAUCUGCGAAAAGCGUCGGUAAGGUGAUAUGAACCGUUAUACCCGACGAUAUCCGAAUGGGGAAACCCAGUAUCCAAUGAUACUAUCAUUAACUGAAUCCAUAGGUUAAUGAGGCGAACCGGGAGAACUGAAACAUCUCAGUACCCCGAGGAAAAGAAAUCAACCGAGAUUCCCCUAGUAGCGGCGAGCGAACGGGGAGCAGCCCAGAGUCUUAAUCAAUAGCAGUGUCAGGAGAACGGUCUGGAAAGUCCGGCAGUAAAGGGUGAUAGCCCCGUAUCUGAAGAUGCUGUUAUUGUGAACUCGACGAGUAGGGCGGGACACGUGUUAUCCUGUCUGAAUAUGGGGGGACCAUCCUCCAAGGCUAAAUACUCCUGAUUGACCGAUAGUGAACCAGUACCGUGAGGGAAAGGCGAAAAGAACCCCGGCGAGGGGAGUGAAAAAGAACCUGAAACCGUGUACGUACAAGCAGUAGGAGCCUCUUUAUGGGGUGACUGCGUACCUUUUGUAUAAUGGGUCAGCGACUUAUAUUCUGUAGCGAGGUUAACCGUAUAGGGGAGCCGUAGGGAAACCGAGUCUUAACUGGGCGAAUGAGUUGCAGGGUAUAGACCCGAAACCCGGUGAUCUAUCCAUGGGCAGGUUGAAGGUUGGGUAACACUAACUGGAGGACCGAACCGACUAAUGUUGAAAAAUUAGCGGAUGACUUGUGGAUGGGGGUGAAAGGCCAAUCAAACCGGGAGAUAGCUGGUUCUCCCCGAAAGCUAUUUAGGUAGCGCCUCGUGAACUCAUCUUCGGGGGUAGAGCACUGUUUCGACUAGGGGGUCAUCCCGACUUACCAACUCGAUGCAAACUGCGAAUACCGAAGAAUGUUAUCACGGGAGACACACGGCGGGUGCUAACGUCCGUCGUGAAGAGGGAAACAACCCAGACCGCCAGCUAAGGUCCCAAAGUCAUGGUUAAGUGGGAAACGAAGUGGGAAGGCUCAGACAGCCAGGAUGUUGGCUUAGAAGCAGCCAUCAUUUAAAGAAAGCGUAAUAGCUCACUGGUCGAGUCGGCCCGCGCGGAAGAUGUAACGGGGCUAAACCAUGCACCGAAGCUGCGGCAGCGACACAAAGUGUUGUUGGGUAGGGGAGCGUUCUGUAAGCCUGCGAAGGUGUACUGUGAGGUAUGCUGGAGGUAUCAGAAGUGCGAAUGCUGACAUAAGUAACGAUAAUGCGGGUGAAAAACCCGCACGCCGGAAGACCAAGGGUUCCUGUCCAACGUUAAUCGGGGCAGGGUGAGUCGACCCCUAAGGCGAGGCUGAAAAGCGUAGUCGAUGGGAAACGGGUUAAUAUUCCCGUACUGGUGGUAACUGCGAUGGGGGAACGGAGAAGGCUAGGUUGUCCGGGCGACGGUCGUCCCGGUUCAAGCAGGUAGGCAGAGUGAUUAGGCAAAUCCGGUCACUUAAUGCUGAGAUGUGAUGACGAACCACCAAGGUGGUGAAGCAAUUGAUGCCCCGCUUCCAGGAAAAGCCUCUAAGCUUCAGGUUACCAACAAUCGUACCCCAAACCGACACAGGUGGUCAGGUAGAGAAUACUCAGGCGCUUGAGAGAACUCGGGUGAAGGAACUAGGCAAAAUGGUGCCGUAACUUCGGGAGAAGGCACGCUGGCGGUAGGUAAAGUCCCUUGCGGACGGCGCUGAAGCCAGUCGAAGAUACCAGCUGGCUGCAACUGUUUAUUAAAAACACAGCACUGUGCAAACACGAAAGUGGACGUAUACGGUGUGACGCCUGCCCGGUGCUGGAAGGUUAAUUGAUGGGGUUAGCCGCAAGGCGAAGCUCCUGAUCGAAGCCCCAGUAAACGGCGGCCGUAACUAUAACGGUCCUAAGGUAGCGAAAUUCCUUGUCGGGUAAGUUCCGACCUGCACGAAUGGCGUAAUGAUGGCCAGGCUGUCUCCACCCGAGACUCAGUGAAAUUGAACUCGCUGUGAAGAUGCAGUGUACCCGCGGCAAGACGGAAAGACCCCGUGAACCUUUACUAUAGCUUGACACUGAACAUUGAGCCUUGAUGUGUAGGAUAGGUGGGAGGCUUUGAAGUGUGGACGCCAGUCUGCAUGGAGCCAACCUUGAAAUACCACCCUUUAACGUUUGAUGUUCUAACCUAGGCCCAUAAACUGGGUCGGGGACCGUGUCUGGUGGGUAGUUUGACUGGGGCGGUCUCCUCCUAAAGAGUAACGGAGGAGCACGAAGGUUGGCUAAGCAUGGUCGGACAUCAUGCGGUUAGUGCAAAGGCAUAAGCCAGCUUGACUGCGAGAGUGACGGCUCGAGCAGGUACGAAAGUAGGUCUUAGUGAUCCGGUGGUUCUGAAUGGAAGGGCCAUCGCUCAACGGAUAAAAGGUACUCCGGGGAUAACAGGCUGAUACCGCCCAAGAGUUCAUAUCGACGGCGGUGUUUGGCACCUCGAUGUCGGCUCAUCACAUCCUGGGGCUGAAGUAGGUCCCAAGGGUAUGGCUGUUCGCCAUUUAAAGUGGUACGCGAGCUGGGUUUAGAACGUCGUGAGACAGUUCGGUCCCUAUCUGCCGUGGGCGUUGGAAGAUUGAGAGGGGUUGCUCCUAGUACGAGAGGACCGGAGUGAACGCACCACUGGUGUUCGGGUUGUCAUGCCAAUGGCAUUGCCCGGUAGCUAAGUGCGGAAGAGAUAACCGCUGAAAGCAUCUAAGCGGGAAACUUGCCUCGAGAUGAGUCUUCCCUGUCGCUUUAAGCGACCUAAAGGAACGUUUAAGACUAAGACGUUGAUAGGCUGGGUGUGUAAGCGUAGCGAUACGUUGAGCUAACCAGUACUAAUGAACCGUGAGGCUUAACCUGACAACACCGAAGGUGUUU